UGUGAAACUGCAGGACACAUGAACACCGAUAAGUUGAACGCAUAUUGCGCAUCGUGCGACACAGCUCGAUGUACACAUUUUUGAGUGCCCAUAUUUGACCCUUACCAAAGUCAAACUACGUACCUUAUCGUACGUGCCUGAUGAUGAAAGAGUUUGGAUGCACCAUCCUUCUCUUGCAUUGAAAGCGUAGCGUGUAGCAACCCCAGGUUUCAACUUGCAAAGUGGCCAUGGGGCCGACACCUCACCACCAUCAGCGUGCUGUGCAGCGUGUUCGGCCCAGUUCGGUCAUCGUGAGGCGUUAUCUAACGGGGAAGCACUCGCUGCUGCGCGUAUCUCAUGGUUACCUACCAUAGCAGCAGAGAUACAAGACCGG
rnacentral:rRNA from 1 species